GUCGAGCGAUUAAAGCACCUUCGGGUGUGUAUAAAGUGGCGAACGGGUGAGUAACACGUGGGUAACCUGCCCUCUUCACCGGAAUAGCUCAGGGAAACCUGAAUUAAUGCAGGAUAUGCUUCUAGAACCGCAUGGUUCAUGGAGGAAAGCUCAGGCGGAAGAGGAUGGACCCGCGGUCCAUUAGCUUGUUGGUGAGGUAACGGCCCACCAAGGCAAUGAUGGAUAGCCGAGCUGAGAGGCUGAUCGGCCACAUUGGGACUGAGACACGGCCCAGACUCCUACGGGAGGCAGCAGUGGGGGAUAUUGGACAAUGGGCGCAAGCCUGAUCCAGCCAUGCCGCGUGAGUGAUGAAGGCCCUAGGGUUGUAAAGCUCUUUCACCGGUGAAGAUAAUGACGGUAACCGGAGAAGAAGCCCCGGCUAACUUCGUGCCAGCCGCCGCGGUAAAAC
rnacentral:rRNA from 1 species